rnacentral:rRNA from 1 species
UACAGAGGUCUCAAGCGUUGUUCGGAUUCAUUGGGCGUAAAGGGUGCGCAGGCGGCGAGGCAAGUCGGACGUGAAAUCCCGGGGCUUAACCCCGGAACUGCGUUCGAUACUGCCUUGCUCGAGGACUGGAGAGGAGACUGGAAUUCCUGGUGUAGCAGUGAAAUGCGUAGAUAUCGUAAGGAAGACCAGUGGCGAAGGCGGGUCUCUGGACAGUUCCUGACGCUGAGGCACGAAGGUCAGGGGAGCAAACGGG